AAGCAAGGGAGCCGGAGUGGUUUCGAACAGACUGUCUUUUGCCAAUGGCAUAGCUCAAAGAGAGGAAAUCCAUCCAGGACCGUUCCUGUCCUCUUGUGAAAUGAACUGAGCGCAUCCAUCCUGUGAUGAAGGGGGUGCUGAUUAGACGUGGAGGACCCCAACCAGUUCCACGAUGACAGUGGACAUUGCCUAGGACGAUGCUGGCCAGAAAGAGAAGUAGCAGGGUCUGCCUGGGCACACAAAUGUCCCAGGGAGCUGCCUCUUACAGCUGCCCAGGCUCCCAGGGAACUCACAAACCCCAGAGGACACGCUGCAGAUCUUAUACCUAAGCCCAGGAUGGCAGUUCUUUAUCGUUCACCCAAAUACAACCACUUCUGACUUCACUGAGUACAAAGGGCACCAGAUUUCAAGACUUCUAUGUCACAACCUGUGCCAACAAAACAAUUUUCUAUAAAAGACAGAGAAAGGGCACGGAUUACCUUUAAAAUCAGACGGGGUGCAGAGGCGGGGCUUCCGGCCAUCAGUGGGACAAUUUCAACAGUUCCUCUCCCAGAGAAGGUGAGGAAGGGCCACAGGGUACAUACUGCACCAACGUGGGCAGUUCCACGGACCUGGGUGUGGCCAGGGCACAGGCUCCUGGGGGAGGGGCGGUACCAACACACAUCACCUUUUUUCUUCCUGUGGUGCCUGGCUCUCCCCCUCUUCCCAAGCAGGUGCUCACGGGAGGCACUGGCACCCUGCACACAGUCCAAGGGAGACCCGUGACUGCUUCCAGAAGUGUUCUAUGCAGGAGGGACUUUUGGGCAGGAAAUGGAUCAUCACAGACAAACUGCCAACGGAGCUGGAGGGAGGGGAGGGAACCCCGUAUCUGGGAAAGCACCCCCAGGAAACCAUCUUCGGGGGAAAGAGUUGAGGACAAGUGCCAAAGGGGGAGCAGGAAAAGGAGGCCCCUGGUUUAUCUGCACAUCAAGGCGGAUUCGCUCAUUCAUUCAGCAGACAUCUACUCUGCACCUACUCAGCGACAGGCACGGCGCCGCUGCAAACAGCGCCCACACAAAAGGACGAGGAUCGGGGGGGCUGUGGAUUCAGAAGCAGCGUGCUUCCAGGUCAGGACUCAAGACUACGCCCCCUCCCCGCGCUGGCCGGGAAACCGCUUCCAUUAACAAUGUGCACUGACGGCGGGGGGCGGGAGUACGCCCCGGACCGAAUGCCUGCUACCUCCCACCCGUUCAGAAAGAUGCCUGAUGGAUGGCGCAGUCCUUGCAGUAUAGCCGCUCACCAGCAACCAGGACCGGGGACCAGAGACAUUCACCACCCCCCCGGCGAGGGGGGCUCCAAGCGCUGCGCCCCGAUCGCAUUCUGGGUCGCCAAUGGGCAGACGACGGGAGCUCACCGAGGCGGCUCAGCUCUCGAGGUAAGGGGCCCUGCAGGGCGACAAGGUGAGAAGGUAAGUGCGAUGGGGGGUCGGGCGGAUACGCCCAGCACACGGACCUCUCCCCAACUUGGGGCUCUGUCCCCCGGGGCAGCCAGCGGCCAGGAGGCGUUGGAAAGGGAGAUGACCGAGAGCGCCCAGGAUGGGCGAUGACCACCGCCACCGGGAGAAUCGACUCCGCUUGGAGGCAGAGGGAUGGCUAAAAUGACCUCUGGAAAGAUGUCAAUUACAAGAACAAAAAUUUCAACCCAGAACCCCAUGACCUUCAUAAAGCGACGCAGGGGGUGAAAUCCCCCCCUCUUCCCCCGGAUCGCGGGGCAACUUACCUACAGGUAAGGGACUCGACUGUUAGGUAGAAUGUGCAUCAAUCCACGGAUGGAGACGAGGUUGUGGGUCAUCCGAGCCCGGCCGAGACGCACCAAGUAAUCCACGUUAGGGGGUCCGGAGGCCCCUACCCCAUUCCCAACUUUCCAUCCAAGGCCAAAGCGCCGGCAGCCCCGGCCUCUGCGCCCGGGACCCGCGGAAAUCGCGCUUGGGUUCGCUGGCCCGGGUUCCCCAGCGGCGCCCCGGCGACCCCGGCGAGCGCACCCCGCCUCCUCGCGCUCGGAGAGCAGCGCCUCGCCUUUCUUCGCUGCUCAUCGCCAGCGCGACCCCAGAGAUCCCAGCCGGGAACCCCUCUGCCGAGCCCGGGAAAGCGCCAAAGGCAAAUCCGCCGGGCCUGGGGUUUGCAGGUCCGCGGGGCCCGGGCGGCGGGGGCUGGGAGCCCGCCGGGCAAGAGAGACUCAGGAGAGAAGCACCGAGCGGCGGCUGCCAGUUACGGGGUGUGACGCCCCGCGCCCACACCGCCUCGACCGCGCCACCUCCGCGCUCUGCUCGCCGCCGGACCAUUCUGCCUUUAAAUAGCAGCCGGGCCCGGGGCGGGGAGGGGCGGGGAGGGGCGGGGAGGGCGGGGAGCGGGACGAACUGUUUCCUGGGAGAUGUAGUUCCGUCUUCCAGCCACAACAAACGCAGAGCAGCGUAGGAAUGGUUGGGGUCCGCCCGCCAACAGCUGUCCUCCCCGGCGCCCUAACUCCGGAGACAAGGCUGGGAUUCCAGCCUCACUGCCAGCUCCGUUAGGUCUAGGCUGCCCUCUGUGCAUAAGGUGGGUCACGCCAAGCUAAAUUCUGCCCAGGACGACCAACCUUAGUAGCCCUGGAG